ensembl:lncRNA
GCCUUUCUUCCUCAUCGUCUGUGUCCAGGGUCACUCUGGAGCUGGCCCUCUGCCUUUCUCGCUGAUCUCCAGAGUCCCUCCAGAUCUCUACUUGGCUGGAGCCCUUUGGGAUGCUGGAGAAACUUAAAGAACCGGCUCCGCUGGUGGAUUCUCAGCCUGUAGAGGGGAGAAACAAGGACUGAAGAAGGAUGUGCUCCUCUUUUAAAGAGACUCUCCAGAGGUUGUCUAUGAUACUUCUCCUUACAUCCCAUUGGCCGGAAUGUAGUCACAUGGUCCCAGCAGAUUUCGAGGGAGGAGUUCUCUAUAUUUCCGGUGGCCGGCAGUGACCAGAGGCAAAGAAUGCCCAGGUCUACUGAUACGAGCAUGACGGCCUCAAGUUCCACCCAUGCUGUAGGAUAUGGCGACGUUUUUUCUUUUUUAAACUGAAUCAC